rnacentral:rRNA from 1 species
UACGUAGGGUGCGAGCGUUGCCCGGAUUUAUUGGGCGUAAAGGGCGCGUAGGCGGCCACGCACGUCCGUUGUGAAAUCGCCCGGCUCAACUGGGCGGGGUCGGCGGAUACGGCGUGGCUGGAGCAAGCUAGGGGGCAAUGGAAUUCCCGGUGUAGUAGUGGAAUGCGUAGAUAUUAGGAAGAACACCAGUGGCGAAGGCGACUACCUGGCCUGUUUCUUGACGCUGAGGCGCGAAAGCUAGGGGAGCAAACGGG